rnacentral:tmRNA from 1 species
UACGCAAUCGCUGCCUAAUAAGCAGUAGAUGCUCUCCCCCCCGCGCAUGCCUGUAAGCCGGGAUUUUGGGAGAUCACCCCUAACAGGAUCGCAUGGCGGCUUUGUCCGGAGCCAAAAUGCUAAAACCAAUCGGACUCGCCCGACGAUAGCCUGCCAGCUGGCGCUCAUAGGGUUAACUAAAUAACUGGAUAAGCAUGUAGUACCGACGAUCUAGGUUUUUCGGACGGGGGUUCAAAUCCCCCCGGCUCCACCA